ensembl:lncRNA CEROX1 cytoplasmic endogenous regulator of oxidative phosphorylation 1
CCCCGCCCGGCGCCGCACCACGUGGGCCAGGCGCCCCACGCCUGGAGCUCCCCUCUCUGGAGCCCCGGGAAAGGAAGCGGGGCAGGGAGGCCGGGUGGGAGCAGGGGGGUCUCCGGCGCUUCCUCUCCUCUGCGGGCGCCGCGCGGCUCCUGAGAGUCCGCCCCCCGUCCUGACGCUCAGCUAGGAAGCGGGUCCUCGGGCCCCUCCCCCGACACACACACACACACACACACACACACACACACACACACACACUCUCUCUCUCUCUCUCUCUCUCUCUCUCUCUCUCUCUCUCUCUCACACACACACACACACACACAGCCCGUCUCGCGCCUGAGGUCUCGCCCGCAGGCCGGUGGCGCGGGGUCAGCUGCUGCCUGCGGUCCAGGACAGGGUCGGUUCCGCCGCGCAGCGCCCAGGCCCAGCUCGUCCAGAGUCUGCGGACAGCGCACGUCCAGACAUCGCCCACUCGGGCUCACAGUGCCAUCCGGGUGAGGACCUCCGUGGAGAGCUCUCUUUGCCAAAGAAAAGCAGUUGCAUUAGGUCUGCGAGCAGGCAGGGUGGCCUCUUCCUGGCUCCCCAUCCACCAAGGAAGCUUCAAGUCCCUGGGACACAGGCACUUUCCCACACAGGAUGGAGCCGGGCCACCCUCACAGCUCCUGCCCUGCAGACGCUGGCCUUGUGGAGGGAGGCAGGCAGCAGGAGCAGUGCUUUCUGGGCCUCUGUAGCCAGAGCUGGCCCUGCUGCAGCUUACGUCUGCCUGCAGCCCAGACGUCCUCCUGGUCCUCCUGAUGCCCCCGACCUCCACGGAGGACGAGCAUUUCCAGCCCAGCCCUCCCCAUCUUCACCUCGCACUCCCCUGACACACUGGGAGCCUCCUGAUCCGUGAACCCGCGCUGGCGGGAGUAGCUACUGACCGCUGGGGACCCCUGCCCAGGCUGUUCGCAUGUGGAAAGGAUUCAGGGAGCAGGCGAUGCCCAAAGCGUGGAGACCAGCACUGCUCUCUCCCCAGUGACAGAGUUCAUGAGGCCCCUUGCCCGGAAUGUCCACAUUUGAAACCUCCCAACACCGAGCCCCAUUUCAAGUAUAACCAGGAGGGAAAAUGGUGCUUGAAAUAAGCAUGCCACAAAGGAAAACCUGCUUUCUCGAAAUGGGCCCUGGCCGCCCAGGCCCUGACCUCCCCGGCCAGGAUGGAACGUUCCAGAGACCCAUUAGUGCCAAAGGCAAAUGAAAACACACCCUGUGAAAAUGUC